rnacentral:lncRNA from 1 species
AGAGGUUUUGUUUUGUUUUGCUUUGUUUUGUGUGUGGGGGACGGGGGAGCCUAAGUCAUCUACGUGAUGUGCUAAUGUCUGUCAUUCUCUUAUAAUCCUUUCAUUUAGUCCUCCUGGGACUCCAGUAAGACAAGUCUUGCCUUUCAUGUGGACUCAUACAAUGUAAAGUAGGUGCUCACAUUGGCGGAGUAAGAAGCACUGCACAGAAAUAGCUCAUUGGCAGAAUUGCGCUCUCAAGGAUGGAUAUCUUCAAGCCAUCCUUGACCCUCUAGAGCAGAAAGACAAACAAGUGUAAUGCUGAGGAAUGGGAAAAAUGUUUAAUUGCAAGCAGAAGAAUCUCACGUGAAAUUGUGAGUGGACUUCAGUGAUGACUAUCAAAGGAAAUUCUCAUAAUGAUUCGUUUUUCUUCCCAAUGAUGGCACUACCGUUCUCAGGAAAGCCCAGUUCCCUUCCUGGCUUGGAUAUUAACUGAUAGUUUGAAUGAACAUAGUAUUUUUAUAAAAUUGUCUUUGCAUGUGUUGAUGCCACCGUCAGGAAGGUCCUUUC